rnacentral:RNase_P_RNA from 1 species
GAAGUGAACUGGAUAGCCGCCGGUAGUUGCUUUUUCGGAAGCAAUUGCGGGAGGAAAGUCCGGGCUCUGUAGGACAAGGUGGUCGGUAACGCCGACCGGUCGUGAGAUUAGGGAAAGUGCAACAGAAAAUAUACCGCCUAAGUCCCUUCGGGGAACGGUAAGGUUGAAAUGGUGCGGUAAGAGCGCACCGCGGGUAAGGUGACUUGCCUGGCAUGGUAAACCCCACCUAGAGCAAGGCAAACAGGCAGGAAAUCGGUCUUCGGACCGGUUGCGAACUUGUCCGGUUCGCUAGUUACUGCCGGGUUCGCUGCUUGAGUCGACGAGCAAUUUUCGACCUAGAGGAAUGGCUAUCGCUGUCGCCUUGUGUGACAGUACAAAACCCGGCUUAUAGGUUCACUUCGGCG